UGUUACCUUUCUGGAGCAACUGCCUGGGCUAAGGGUUACAGGCUGGCAUGAUCUAAAUAACGCGUUUCAUCUCUAAAUAGAGGCACCUAGCAUGGGGACAUAUAUGAUGGACAAGACACUGCUACUUCAAGACAAAAGUUUUGUCUCAUCUUGUAGAAGUUUAUAAAUUCGGCUGAGAAAACCCAGCUCCCUUCUUCUCUCCACGUUCUCCAACCACCAACAACAGUGGAAUGGCUGAGCUUGCUCCAGCAUAUCCUUGAACUGGGGGUACAAGUCUGUGAGACCAUGAGUCUGUCUAAACCCAUGUGGUUUUGGAAGUGAUAAAUUGCAUUCAUCUCUUCUGGAAACAAGCUCCAUUGUUGUGGAACUCUUGCCUCCAUUCCAGAACAUGAGUUACCAAUUUCAUGACUCUGGUAGCUGGUGGUGUUUAUCCUGAUGAGCUCUUCCCUGUGCAUACCUGAGGUUACCUCACCUGGUCCUGUAAAAGGCUUUGAAGAUCAGGUCUAAGACUAUUAUAAUGACAUAAAAGCAUUGUGAGAGAGAAUAUGUGAAUAUAUGAGUUGGGAAAAACCUGGUGAGAGAGGUGGUGGCUUUUAAAAGCAGUUUUAGUGCUACUGAAAAAAAUCCAGCUGCAGUUUUGCACUCACAGCUACACCUGUUAGAGGGAACUAUAGAUACAGCUAUGGAUAAGGAGUUCCAAGAGGAAGAUGAGGAUUCGGAAUAAUUGCUUCAGGAGUAAAUUUUAUUCUUUUGGGGCAUUUGGAACAAGUAUCAGUUGGGAGGAGGUGACUGUGCUGCAGACCUAUGGUAACCAGCAGUGGUGAGAAGUGAGACAGGCACAUGGUGAUUUUUGGGUUUAAUCUGUUAAUCACAUGGCCGUCACUGCGGGUGUGCUGUCAGACUUAUCCUAAGUACGUGCUUUGAGAGGAAUCACGGAUUCUGGCUGACUCUCUUUUGUAAUGCUCAUGAUGCACAGGAGGAACAUUCUCAGUGACAUGACCUGAUGAGAUCUGCAGGCUGUUAUUUAUUUUGGUGAGGAUUUUUUCCAGUGCAGUGCUGGUUUUGCAUGACCUGUACGGUUUGGGCUUAAAAUGACUUGGUUGCAUAUCUUGGUUCACUGAAUGGAAAGGUCAGUAUUGGUAACACAUUUUUAGUUUGUUCUCACUGUUCAUAUUGCACUGGUUGGGUUUCAAAGUAAUGCUGAUUCUUUAUCCAUGGAUGUUGCUGAGGGAAAUGUGUAUUGUUGGGGGGAGUUUGUGGCAUCCAUGAAUUUUUAUAUUUGCAGAAUUUGCGCUUUCCAUUUAUGGGCAAUUUAGUGCUUUGCCUUCCAGGGGUGUUCUUUGUAUGCAUAUGGAAUCUAUUACACAUGAUUUGUAGAUCCUUUGUAGAUUUUAAAAACAAUGAAGAAUGGGAUUUCACAAUAUAGGAACUAUGAACUAAGUUAAAAUACUCUAAAAAUUUGAAAUCGGUUUGUCUUUCUAAAAGUGGAAAUGCAUAAAUAUUUUGUAAACAGUGCUGGCUGUAGGGGGAAAAUGGGACAUCUGCUGAACUUUGAGAUUUUGAGUUUUUCUCAUAAUGACUGUGGCAAAUUUUUCUCUUUGUGACCACUGAUCUUAGAUGUUGGAGUCAUGUGGUUCCAUCAAAACACUUGGGAAAGAGCAUUAAGAGAACCACCCACUUUUCCAGCCCGCUCUUUCUGGUCCCAGGGUAGAAAAACAUGCUAUGGGAAGGUCUUGUGGUAAACGACUGUUCAGGAACAUGAGCUCUACAGAGCUUUGGAGAGAGAGACUACGGGACUUUGCCCUUGACACAGAAACACUGGAUACCAAAGGUGGUAGAGGUGCAAUGGCUUUCAAAGAGCACUUUUAAUACACUAAUCUGGUCUGCUUUGAUAAUCUGGUUUUAGCCAUUUCUUUGGUCAUGAACUUUCCCUCUUUGUUCUUUCCCUCCAGUUCCUUGCCAGUUCUAAACUACUUUUUCUUGUAUUUCAGAGGCUUUCCUGAAAAUAAGGAUAUUCCUUGUUUCAGUCUACUCUUCCAAGAUCUUUAUGUGCUGUAGACUUGUUAACAUGUAUUUAAGGAUCUCAAUGCCUCCACUGAAUACUGUGAGGGGAAAAAUAACAUUAUUUUUGGUUCAAUAUUGGUGGCGUCAAAGAUUUUUUAAAAAUAUUCAUCCAACAAUUUUGAGAUACUCUCUACAAAUCCUUAUUUCUGUCUUGGAAUUUAGCCUUACCUUUCUUUCCCAUGGUCUUGGGAAUACAAGUGUUGAGGAUCUAAUUAGCCCAUGCCCAAAAGAGGCAUUUAGAGUCCCACCAUGGGACAAGAGGCCGUGGGAUAGGAUGAUUGUAUAUACAGUAUGUUAGACUUAGUUCACAGUUUGGUCCCUCCUAAUCCCAUCUUGUGGCUUCUGAAUUUUGCUGCUGGUGGGCUUUGCUUUUUUAUCAUGAUUGUCAGUCUGCCUGAGAAUGCUGGGGUCUGCCUUUAAAGCCUGUUACUUGUGAUGACAGUUGAAGCAGAUAUUCUGUGAUCCCAUCUGAACUAUGUCUAUUAUGUGAUUAGGUCCAAUCUCCUGUCACAAGACACAACUCGAGAACAGCUACUCUCCCAUCAUGGAGAGAUCAUGGCCUGAUCAAAGGAAACAUGUAAUUUUAAAAGCUAAAGUGAACCCAGCAAAGAAUAAUUUGCUUUUAUUAAUUGGAUUUAUGUUUUCUGAUGCUCUGAUCAUCUGAGAGGACACAGAUAUCUACCUGGAGCCUGGAUGAAAGCAGUCCUUUCUUGUAAGUCAAGAGCCCUAAUAGGACACCAUGUACCUAGAAUUUCCCUUUAUAACUCCCCUUAUGCACUCAGCUUUUCUUGUGCUGUCCUUGUUGCUCUGUAGUGACUCAGAGGCACCUCUGGAAUUGGUAAUGUUCAUGUGUUCUUAGUGCUUCUGUGCCACUUACUUCCUACCUGGCAUUUUCCUAUUUCUCAAAUGCAUUUUUAGUAUCUUUCUACAGAUCAGAAAUCAAAUGACAGUGUGACUGGCAAUGGAAAAGAUUCCAUUUUCAGAAUUUGGCUGUUACAGACCUCCUCUGAUAAACUGCAAAACUCAAGGUCACUGCCAGCCUGCUGGAGACCUGCCGCUGCUGCUGCUGUGUGGGGUCACCAGCGGUGGGUACCACUGCCCUGAUGCUGCCGUUCACCAAAAGAAUCGGGGCCACAUUCCCUUCAGCGCGCACACGUAAUGAGCGAGCACGGAUGCCUUCCUCCAUGGCUCUUUCUAACGGGAAAUGCCGACCCUCCACUCGCAUUCAGCCGCGUCCUGCUGUCUGGAUGGUUUGAAACGCGGCGCUUGGUUUCCCUGCCUGCAGUACCCCAGCGGUACCCCCGCUCCCGAGCUCAGCUCCACACUGGGGGUACAGUCACACGGGGGGUACAGUCACACAGGGGUACAGU